AUAAAUUUGAGAGAGAGAGAGAAAAAAAUAUAGGUAUAGUCGUAUUUGAGGGAGGUAGCGUAGGUGUAGCCGUAGGGGUAUACAAAUACGUACGGAGUCGGUUUUUAUCUCUCUCUUUCAAUUUGUUUUCCACUUGGGAAAGAAGAAUAAAAGAAACUUGAAACUGAAGGGAAGAUAUUUUUAGAGAAAAAGGGGGAAAAGAAGGUGACUUCUCAACAAAGAUUAGGGUUUUUGGAUCUUUAUUUUGCUUUGAUUCUUCGCCAUUCGCAGGGUUUCCUCCUCGUCCUCGGUCACAGUACAGGGUUUUGAUUUGUAGGUUGAAGAGAAGUUUUGGGACAGGGAAGGAAUAAUUGAAUUAUUUGGGUGUGGUAGUGGAGAAGUUUGUGGAAAUUGGAUUAGAUUAGGAGUUUGAGUUUAGUGUUAGGUGGAAUUAUAGAAGGAUAAGAGUGGAAUUGUGUUAGAGCAUGCGAAGUUCUUGGGCGGAUUCUGUUGUGAACUCUGCAGCUGAGAAUGUAGCUGCUGGUUCUUCUGCUAGUAACGGGGUUGCUACUGCUGCUAAGCCUACCAGAGGUGCAUACAUUCCUCCUCAUCUCCGCAACCUUACACCCUCAUCAGAGCCACCAGCACCAGCUUACAGUGGCCCAUCUUCUGCAAAUGAUCGAUCUGGAUAUAGUGGAAAUCGGUGGGGUGGUCCCAGGAAUGACUCUAAUCAGACUGGUUACAGUAGUGGUGGCCGCACAGGUGGUUGGAAUAAUAAAAGUGGUGGGUGGGAUCGCGGGAGAGAGCGGGAAGUAAACCCUUUUGGGGAUGAUGUUGAUACAGAAAAGGUAUUUAGUGAGCAAGAGAAUACGGGUAUUAACUUUGAUGCCUAUGAAGAUAUUCCAGUGGAGACUAGUGGGGAUAAUGUGCCUCCUCCAGUGAAUACCUUUGCAGAGAUUGACUUGGGUGAAGCACUCAAUCAAAAUAUCAAGAGGUGCAAGUAUGUGAAGCCGACACCUGUGCAGCGGCAUGCCAUUCCAAUUUCCCUGGCAGGGCGAGAUCUGAUGGCAUGUGCCCAGACUGGAUCCGGAAAGACAGCAGCAUUUUGCUUUCCGAUUAUCAGUGGGAUUAUGAAGGGGCAGGCUUCACAGAGACCACCGCGGGGGGCACGUACAGUAUACCCACUUGCUCUCAUUCUUUCUCCUACAAGGGAGCUCUCUUGCCAGAUACAUGAUGAAGCUAAGAAAUUUUCAUAUCAAACUGGAGUGAAGGUGGUUGUUGCUUAUGGAGGAGCACCAAUUAGUCAACAGCUGCGGGAUCUAGAAAGAGGUGUUGAUAUUCUGGUGGCGACUCCUGGACGGUUGGUAGAUUUGCUCGAGAGGGCAAGAGUUUCAUUACAGAUGAUAAGGUAUUUAGCUCUAGAUGAGGCAGAUCGAAUGCUGGAUAUGGGGUUUGAACCGCAAAUAAGGAAAAUUGUGGAACAAAUGGAUAUGCCUCCGCAGGGUGUAAGACAGACAAUGCUGUUCAGUGCCACCUUUCCAAAAGAGAUACAGAAACUAGCCUCUGAUUUCCUUUCAAAUUAUGUUUUUCUGGCUGUUGGAAGAGUUGGUUCGAGUACUGACUUAAUUGUCCAAAGAGUUGAGUUUGUUCAUGAUACUGACAAGAGAAGUCAUCUCAUGGAUCUUCUUCAUGCGCAGAGGGCAAAUGGUGUCCAUGGAAAGCAAUAUCUGACUUUAGUCUUUGUGGAGACUAAGAAAGGUGCUGAUUCGCUGGAACAUUGGUUGUGUAUGAAUGGUUUUCCUGCAACUACUAUUCAUGGUGACAGAACACAACAGGAAAGAGAACAGGCAUUGAGGUCAUUUAAAAGCGGUGUCACCCCAAUUUUGGUUGCUACAGAUGUGGCAGCCCGUGGUCUUGAUAUUCCCCAUGUUGCGCAUGUUGUCAACUUUGACCUACCAAAUGACAUUGAUGAUUAUGUCCACCGAAUUGGGAGGACAGGACGUGCUGGGAAAACAGGUUUAGCGACUGCAUUCUUCAAUGACAACAAUUCGUCAUUGGCAAAGGCUUUAUCUGAGCUAAUGCAAGAAGCAAAUCAAGAAGUACCUGCUUGGCUGUCACGUUAUGCAGCUCGAUCUCCUUAUGUUGGAAGGAACCGUCGUUCUGGGGGAGGAGGCCGGUUUGGUGGCCGUGACUUUCGAAGAGAUGCCUCUUUUAAUAGGGGCGGCACAGAUUACUAUAGCGGAGGCAACAGCAGCACUGGAUAUGGGACUGCUGGCGGAUAUGGAGGAGGAUAUGGUUCAGGGGUGACCAGCGCGUGGGACUAAUAUCCAGCCCUUUACAGCACUCAGUUUUAUCUGAAAUAUAGUGUGUCUAGGAAGUAGACAAAGAAAGCAUGGAAAGCUGCUCUUUUAUUCAUAUUGUGGACUGUUUGGAAUGAAAGAAAUAGUUCUCUCGAAGAUAUGGAGUAUAUGGAUCAAAUGCUAAAAUGUUUUUUUUUGUGUUUCUUUUUAGACUGGUUAAGGAUGGACUUAAAAUGACACAAUAAUGUCUAUUAUAACUUAGUUGAUUGGUAGGGUUAUUUUUAUAAGGGGUUUACUACCAUUCUCUAUUUUUGCUUUUGUCCUUUGGCUUCUUUGCAUACAGUCCUUGUAAUUUGAUAUGGCCCCAUUUGAUAAGUUCUGAGAAAGGUAUCGGUGUUUCAAUAA